rnacentral:lncRNA from 1 species
CAUCAGUGUGCUGUAUUCAGGAAACCCAUUUCACCUGCAGAGACACACAUAGGCUCAAAAUAAAAGGAUGGAGGAAGAUCUACUAAGCAAAUGGAAAACAAAAAAAGGCAGGGGUUGCAAUCCUAGUCUCUGAUAAAACAGACUUCAAACCAACAAAGAUCAAAAGAGACAAAGAACGCCAUUACAUAAUGGUCAAGGGAUCAAUUCAACAAGAAGAGCUAACUAUGCUAAAUAUAUAUGCACCCAAUACAGGAGCACCCAGAUUCAUAAAGCAACACUCUCUCAAGACUAAACCAGGAAGAAGUUGAAUCUCUGAAUAGACCAAUAACAGGAGCUGAAAUUGCGGCAAUAAUCAAUAGCUUACCAACCAAAAAGAGUCCAGGACCAGAUGGAUUCACAGCCGAAUUCUAUCAGAGGUACAAGGAGGAACUGGUACCAUUCCUUCUGAAACUAUUCCAAUCAAUAGAAAAAGAGGGAAUCCUCCCUAACUCACUUUAUGAGGCCAGCAUCAUCCUGAUACCAAAGCCGGGCAGAGACACAACCAAAAAAGAGAAUUUUAGACCAAUAUCCUUGAUGAACAUUGAUGCAAAAAUCCUCAAUAAAAUACUGGCAAACCGAAUGCAGCAGCACAUCAAAAAGCUUAUCCACCAUGAUCAAGUGGGCUUCAACCCUGGGAUGCAAGGCUGGUUCAAUAUACGC